rnacentral:tRNA from 1 species
GUCCUAGUAGCUUAAAAUCAAAGCACUGGUCUUGUAAACCAGAAAUGAGACUUUCCCCCUCCUAGGACA